GUGUGGCUGGGAGAAAAUGUAAGCAGGAAGUGAAGCAGCUGGAUCUCUGCACGCAACAAGACGCUCACCACAACGCCAAGGAGAAGGCCACAAAUUGGUUGUGCUUGCACAUUUAAUGCUGCCGAGAAGCUACACAUAUUUGGCAUUCGCGGCCGAGCCGCUCACCAUCAUGGAGUUGGAUCACACUAGACCUCAAUGGCAUGCUCUGCCAUGUGGCCUCCUUGAUGCUGGUCGUCGAGCACUGAUUCGACUAGACUAUCGCGCACAUAUUGAUCACAUUUGAUAAACAAGCUAUGAUCGUUGGAGAGUACCCCUCAGAUAUAUAGGUGCUUUGAUCUGAAGGAUUGGUUUGUGAUACGUCAUUGAUUCAUCGUUGACACAAAUAUGAAAGCACACUAGAAAGAUAAACAUAGG